CCUACGGAGUGCAGCAGUGGGGAAUAUUGGACAAUGGGCGAAAGCCUGAUCCAGCCAUGCCGCGUGUGUGAAGAAGGCCUUCGGGUUGUAAAGCACUUUCAGUGGGGAAGAAAGCCUUGGGGCUAAUACCCUCGAGGAAGGACAUCACCCACAGAAGAAGCACCGGCUAACUCCGUGCCAGCAGCCGCGGUAAUACGGAGGGUGCGAGCGUUAAUCGGAAUUACUGGGCGUAAAGCGCGCGUAGGCGGUCUGAUAAGCCGGUUGUGAAAGCCCCGGGCUCAACCUGGGAACGGCAUCCGGAACUGUCAGGCUAGAGUGCAGGAGAGGAAGGUAGAAUUCCCGGUGUAGCGGUGAAAUGCGUAGAGAGCGGGAGGAAUACCAGUGGCGAAGGCGGCCUUCUGGACUGACACUGACGCUGAGGUGCGAAAGCGUGGGUAGCAAACAGGAUUAGAUACCCUGGUAGUC
rnacentral:rRNA from 1 species